rnacentral:tRNA from 1 species
AAUUAAGUAUAUUUUAGACUUAAAAUCUGAAUAUCGCAUAUUUGCGCUUAAUUAAU